rnacentral:rRNA from 1 species
CCCUGCCAUUUGUACACACCGCCCGUCGCACCUACCGAUUGAACGUUCCGGUGAGACCCUGGGAUUUUGGAUGAUGUCCUUUAUUGGAUGUUUUUCGAAAGAACUUGAGCAAACCUUAACGUUUAGAG